AAAGAUGGACUUUGAAACUGAGCCAAGUGCAACAGUGAUAGAACUUGAACUGGUGCCCAGCGAUUUCCUCAAAAUCAACAUCUUCGACCUGCAGACCAAGGGUGUGGGUUGCAUCAAAUGUACCAGCCGCAAGCUCCAGAGGCAGCAUGCAACAACCUAACACCUCACACCAUCUCUCCUAUCCUGAAGGACUGUUACAACAGAUGGAGCCCCAAAGUCAUGGACUAAAUAAAAGUGAUGGACACAUUAGAGGGAUAGCCCCAUAGACUAAAGGAAUGCUAUUUGUGUGUGUGUGUGUGUGUGUAUG